GGCAUUCAGUCCAUAACACUAACCUAUCUCUUUCUGCCUAUGGCCAACUUAGAAGAACUCAUAUGAACAUGCUAUUAUAAAAGAAUUUACUAUGCUCAUCAACAGGAGAUAGAUUCUAAUGCUCCUUCAUUCCUGCUUUGGGCAAUGUGGGGACUCAGAGAAGUCGAGUGACCUAGAUUUCAUCUCACUUGUCAUCUCCCAUCAAUGACUUGUGGAUCGCUGGGGCACUGCGCUGUGAGCCCAGCUGCAGGGUCGUAGUCUCUUGUGAUGUCUGCCAGGACUGUGGGCGCAUAGUGGCAUACACUGAUCAUGAACAUAAAGGAUUCUGACAUGAAUAACGAAACCAUUACCCUCGUUUGUUCACCCAAUGUGAUUGUUGUUUAUAUCAGCAAAAACAGAAAUGGAGCUAGGUACAGAAAGUGAAACUGGGAACCAGUAGUUUGUGGAAGAAUCAAAUGCCAAAAUUGGUCAGCAGCGUGGGUAAAAACAGGGUGAGAAGAGCAAAGAGGAAGCUCUCUGAAAGCAGCAAAGGAGCUGUCCCCAUGCAUAAAGGAAAUCUUCUGGAGAAUUCUGCGAAUCGUGGAAAUAUUAGACCACAUGUACAGUGGGUAGAGGAGAGCCGUGUCAAGAGGGAGAACCACGAGGAAUUACCGAAAAUAAAAAGGACCCUAAUAUUUGUCCACCAUCCUCAACCUCAUUUUACAGAAUAAAAAAACCACCAUAGAGAGGUUAACCUGGCCAAAGGAUACGACUAAAUUAUAAACUUUCCUAUAACUAUUUUUUCACUAUGUGAAGCACAUUACACAUUUGUUGAAGCAUUUAGUAUUACUGAGCAAUUAUCUUGCUAACGAUUUAGGAGCAUAUGCUUUAAGAAAUCAGGAAUGAAAUUGAUCAUUUUGAAGAAGGCUUUGGGCUGGCAGUGAAUCCAGAUGAUGGUUUUAUUCUAUUUGAGAACAGCAGUGCUUUGCCUAGUAGAAAUAGUCCUUAAUCACAAGAGAAACUCAGCUCCAGGGCAGAAAAGACUGUGUUAUUUCAACUCCAAAUAGCCACUGAGUACCUACGAUAAACUAAGCCCCAUUGCCAAACUGAUGUACCACAGAUGUAUCCACCCUCUCUCUUUCCAAAAUCCUGAAAGUCCAGUCAGGGUGGAGAGAUGAGCAACUAUAAUAUAAUGCAGAGUAAAGAAGUGUCCAAACAGAGCUACGGGUGAGGAGUACUCGGGACCCACAGGAAGCAGCACGAUGACAAAGGAAAUUUUCAGGAACUGUUUGUCCAACCUUCACUUUUCGGCCACAACCACAAACAUGAGCACUGCCCCCUCCUCCACCCGCCAAAUAAGAAUAAGCUAUAUUACAGGAUUGUGCUGGAGAUAAAUUUCGCCCCUAGAUGGUGCUGACAAGGUGCAAAUGACGAGAGGAAAUCCAUGAAGGUUUCCUGGAGGAAGGCUGGACAAUCAAGGGACAAAGAAAGGCAUGGAAGGGCUUGGUUCUGGCAGAGGAAAGAAUGAUGCUGACACGUUGGGUGCCAACAGGGCAUAACAAGGGAGGGAACACAGACAAAAGGCAACAUGACUAGGUUCAGCCAUUUGAUCCAGAGAUAAAUCGGGAGAGAAUAAGACCCUCAGAAUAAGCAAAAUGGAAAACCUUUAAACAUGGUGCCCUCGACAGCAGCAGUUCUCUGAGAGCUUAUUGUAUGUAGGAUGCUAUGCUUCUUGCUCGGUCUGCAAGGCAGAUGGAAGACAGCCUUUGCACUCAGAACAUACAGUGUCGGUAGAACACAGGAAGUGCUAAAUGAGACCUAUGUGAAAUGCAAGGGCUUUGAUCCACAGAGGACAAAGAAUCAGAGACCCAGAGGCCACGAGGCAAGCAAGAAAGGAUCUACGGUGGUGCAAGGAUGGGAUCACUGGGGCUCAAGAGAGAGAAGCGAGUUGUGGAACACUUCGUACUGAAAGCUAAAGACAGCCAUUGGAGAUAUUCACCUCAAACGAAGCAUAAUAUUCUGUGCUACAGAGUAUGUCACCCCCAAACACCGAAACCCUUGGGUCCCAGCCACUUCUCCGGGAUGUGAAAAUGGCAACCAGGUCCUGAGUGAUUUAAAGGACAGUUCACUGAAGAUAUGCAUACUCUAAAAAAUUAUCAUUUCCCUUAUACUCACCACACUGACCCCCUAAGGGCCAAAAGGCAGGUGCCGUUUUAGAGGCUGGAGAAUGAUGCCUCUAAUACAAUUGACACAAUUAAUUAGCAACAUCUUCUGUGAAGUUGUUUAUCUAUAAACUGUGCAUUUCUGUGUGUAAUUAUUCAGUUGUGUUGCA
rnacentral:lncRNA from 9 species